ensembl:lncRNA
CAACAACAUUUGGCUCACUUGGGAAUCAAACAGAACUUUACAAUUACAAAUGUCACUUCUUGUCUCGGUCUCGGACUGUGAGGACUCGUAUUCUUCCCGAGAUAAGCUUAGUAACAAUCACCCAAAAUAAUCAAAAUAAGUCCCCCUCAAUAUUCAUAAAAGGACAAUAAUUUAUUAUUGUGAUAAUGCGGGCAAUAUCUUUGUGAAUGUUGGUGCGGUUCUUUCUCCCCAGCUCCCUAUUUCAAAGCCCGGUCAGCCCAUUCCAUUUGCCUUUAAUGAAUUAAACCGAUCUCUCUUGAAAUCCAUGUCAUGCUUUACCCUUUACCUUUGUACUGGAGUCCUAUGAGUCCAUUUGAAGCGGGGGAUCCAAUCUCAGGCAGGCCUGACGCCUUAUAUAUGGGUGCAAAGUGAGUCUGAACCAGAAGCAGAGAGACAGAGAGAUGAGAGGGUGAUGCUGAGCGAUCCUACAGGACAGGGGGCGCCCACGGAAGAGAGGCGGGGGGCGUGAACUACAAACAGAAGAAGACAGUGGAGUUUGUGGUGAACACGCGCAGAGUUUUCUUGUGGACUGAAAAAAUGCUGUGGUAAUGUAAGCAAUGAACAAGAUUAAACGAACCCAUCAAAUUA